GACGAACGCUGGCGGCGUGCCUAAUACAUGCAAGUCGAGCGAAGUUUUCUGGUGCUUGCACUAGAAAAACUUAGCGGCGAACGGGUGAGUAACACGUAAAGAACCUGCCUCAUAGACUGGGACAACUAUUGGAAACGAUAGCUAAUACCGGAUAACAGUAUUUCUCGCAUGAGAGAUAUUUAAAAGUUGGUUAUGCUAACACUAUGAGAUGGCUUUGCGGUGCAUUAGCUAGUUGGUGGGGUAAAGGCCCACCAAGGCGACGAUGCAUAGCCGACCUGAGAGGGUGAUCGGCCACACUGGGACUGAGACACGGCCCAGACUCCUACGGGAGGCAGCAGUAGGGAAUCUUCCGCAAUGGGCGAAAGCCUGACGGAGCAACGCCGCGUGAGUGAAGAAGGAUUUCGGUUCGUAAAGCUCUGUUGUUAGGGAAGAAUGGAUAUGUAGUAACUAUACAUAUAAGAGACGGUACCUAACCAGAAAGCCACGGCUAACUACGUGCCAGCAGCCGCGGUAAUACGUAGGUGGCAAGCGUUGUCCGGAAUUAUUGGGCGUAAAGCGCGCGCAGGUGGUUUAAUAAGUCUGAUGUGAAAGCCCACGGCUCAACCGUGGAGGGUCAUUGGAAACUGUUAAACUUGAGUGCAGGAGAGAAAAGUGGAAUUCCUAGUGUAGCGGUGAAAUGCGUAGAGAUUAGGAGGAACACCAGUGGCGAAGGCGGCUUUUUGGCCUGUAACUGACACUGAGGCGCGAAAGCGUGGGGAGCAAACAGG
rnacentral:rRNA from 1 species